UCCCAACAGUGAGGUUGCCUGGGCUCUCUU
rnacentral:piRNA from 1 species